UCAGGACGAACGCUGGCGGCGUGCUUAACACAUGCAAGUGGAGCGACGAACCGGGGCUUGCCCCGGGGCAGAGCCGCGAACGGUGAGUAACACGUGGGUAACCUGCCUCAAUGAUUGGGAUAACCCGGGGAAACUCGGGCUAAUACCAAAUGUGUUCACUCCUUCUAAGGGGAGUGAGGAAAGGAAGCUUCGGCCUCCGCAUUGAGAUGGGCCCGCGGCCCAUUAGCUUGUUGGCGAGGUAACGGCUCACCAAGGCUUCGAUGGGUAGCUGGUCUGAGAGGACGAUCAGCCACACUGGGACUGAGACACGGCCCAGACUCCUACGGGAGGCAGCAGUGGGGAAUCUUGCACAAUGCGCGAAAGCGUGAUGCAGCAACGCCGCGUGGGGAAGACGGCCUUCGGGUUGUAAACCCCUUUCAGUUGGGACGAAGCUUCGUCGGUGAAUAGCCGGUUGGAGUGACGGUACCUUCAGAAGAAGCCCCGGCUAACUACGUG
rnacentral:rRNA from 1 species